rnacentral:rRNA from 1 species
AUGGGGCACCUACCAGUCCGGCGCACUUCUCAACCAGGACGUCUGCCGGGUAUGAGGCCGCCGCAGCCACCUGCCACGAGUCCAUCUUUAGAGCUGUACUGUUGCAUCUACCAUGCCAGAUCUCUCUGCCAUCGACGUCACCACGACGCCAGACAGCGUCGUCCUCCUGCGCGAGUCCAUCCUCCCACAUCGAACUCCGAAUCUGCACUGCGCCAUGCCGUCAAGAUCCGUCGCCAUCAAUGUAUGGAUGAAACACCGAUCCACCAAAGAAACCGUCCGCUGGUCCCGCGAAGCAAGGCUCAGCACCAAGUAGAAGGCUGA